rnacentral:rRNA from 1 species
UACACUGGUGGCGACCGGCGCACGGGUGAGUAACACGUGUGCAACCAACCCCGUACCGGGAGAUAACCCGCGGAAACGUGGACUAACAUCCCAUAAGACUCUAGAGCCGCAUGGCUCUGGAUUUAAAAUUCCGGUGGUACGGGACGGGCACGCGCGACAUUAGGUAGUUGGCGGGGUAAGGGCCCACCAAGCCGACGAUGUCUAGGGGUUCUGAGAGGAAGGUCCCCCACACUGGAACUGAGACACGGUCCAG